CUCAUGCGCGCCGAGAGCGCAUCAGCUCCAACUUCUCUCGUUCUCUAAACACAUGAAGCCGUCACUUUCACACUUGAUUAAUAGCAAAUGGACUAAGCUGGCUGCCAGAGACCGCUAUUGCCAAACACCAGAGGAGAAUCUCUACAUGUUCUGCUGCUCCUUUCGUCUUCCAGGAGUGUGUAUGCAGCUCUGAGGACUCAAGGAGAGCAGGGAUGGGGAGAAGGAACUCAAAUGCGGCGCGGAGGCUGGGACUGAGUGAUUUCUAAGACUGGUCACUCUAAAUGAACACCUCCACUGCAGCAGAGUGCCUUGGAUUUAUUGUCACCAGCACAGAUUUCCAGGAUAAAACAAACACAAGGUGGGGUAUUGCAUUGGCUCUUUGAUGCCGUAUCCUCUUACACUCCGCUUGCUCCCUGUAGCCAUGUUUUUCAAAGAAACAUCCAGCAGAAAACAUCCUCUGCAUUUGAAAUGUAGAUCGCUCAAGCCAUUCUGCAUACAGCGUGUGCCCUCUCCUUCGCUCCCACGUUUGGCUUUUCAGAUGCAUCUGAUACGACAAAACGGCUUCCUGAUGAAGCCUUCGCAUUCUGGAUGUCGGGGAUGAUCUGUACUAACAACAAUGCAGAUGAGGGUUCAACCUCUAUUUGCUCCCUAUCAUGCUGAUGGCACAGAGGUGAAAUAUAUACAUGUGGUGUUAUGUGAAGUAGGGGCCUGAUAACAGGCUACAUCAAACCACGGAGUGUGAUCAACUGUGCUUGGUUGAAAUAGAAACAUGUAAAUAACUAAAUUGAAUGAUUUUAAAGAUCCAUUUUGACUGAGAAAUCUUUUUUUUGUGUCAAAGUUGCCAAAUCGUCCCUAUCCAAAAGAACUCUCAAGUCAAACCAGGACUUGCGAUUUAAUUUCGCAUGAAUUAAGUUAGUGUAAAACUGAUGAAUAUUUACAGAAGAGUUCAAGCACAGUAGAAUUCAUCUGAGAAUGAUGAGCCUGGCUCAUCGGUCGUUCCUGUGACCGUUCAACAAGUGGAAUGCCUAUUCCAAAAACCAACUUGAUGCAUGUGUCUGUACCACCUGUAUAUUUCAGGAACUCAGCUGCCACAUCCCCCAUACAAUCCUGACCUCACUCCAAAGCCAUUUCCUUAUGUUUUGGGCCAUUUAAGGAGUUCCUUGGAGGCCAGCAUUUGAGAUGUUAUCAUGGCUCCGGCAUAGUUGAGAAAACCUUCUACCUUGAUGGUGCACUAGUGCAGUAGUGAAACACUGGAAUAAGUGCAUUGCAGCAGGGGAUUAUAUAGAGAAAUAAAAGGAAUUUUUACUCUUAUAAGUGUGUUCUGUUAUUCUGUGC